rnacentral:lncRNA from 1 species
GUGCAAAAACAUAGACUGUGAUGUUGCAAACAUACUAACUGUUAUGUUAUAGUAUUACUACUAAAUCACAGUAUUUCUGCCAAUUCAAGGAGGCUGACUGUUACUAAGUGCAUCAGUGUACAUAGGUCAUCUGUUGUGUUGGAGUGCCCUCUUGUGGCGCCUUUUGGGUAGAGCCUUAGUAAACGUGAACACUGCAAAGAAGUGGUAUCAGACUGGUUUGUAGUGGAGGAAUUUGUUACCAGUUACUUUCAUCUUUAAUCCGUAUUCAUGUUGUAAUGUAGUAGUACCACAAUAUGGCAGAAACACUAUGUUUUGGCACAAAUACUUUGAUUUGGUAUACUUUAGCUUCUUCACCCCUUUUCAGCAAAAUUUUCAUUUUUUUCACCCCUUUUCAGCACAAAUUCCAGCUUUUUUGGCUGUUUUCAGAAAAAAAAAACUCUUUUCAGCAGAAACUCUGCUGAUUCAUCUCUUUUCAACGCAAAUUUCUGCUUCUUUGCCUCUUUUCUGCAGAAAUUCUGCUGAUCCACCUCUUUUCUGCAAAACUUUCAGCCUUUUCACCUGUUAUCAGCACAAUUCUCAGCAGCUUCUGCUCAUUUCAGCAGAAUUGUCCGUCUCUCCACAACAACGUUUUGCAACUUUUCAUCUUUUUCAGCUUUUCAGCAGACAGCUUCAGCGUCAAGGCAUCCACACAGCAUUUUCGCAGGAAAUGCAAAUUUUUUCUAGUUAUUAUUAUUCUCCAUCUUCCGCCUAAAUUUCGGCACGUAUCACGCCCCGCAGUUUUGAGAAAAGCUUCAUAUAUGUUACCUCAUUUUGUGCGGCCGGAUCUGGAAUGGUGUGCUAUGACUUUUGGUGUUUAUGAAUUUUAUAGUUUUUUAAAUAUUAAUAUUUUAGUGAAAAUUUUCCCGCGCUCCUCUGCCGAACAGUUUUGACAUUAGGGUUACAUAUGUUAGAUCAUUUUGUGCGGCUGGAGCUGGACUAUUAAUAUUUUAGUGCAAAUUUAGGCCAAUUCAUCUUUUGGCGCCAAAUAAACAGACUUCAUUUGUGGUGUGUUGGCGCCAUCUUUUGGUCCCAUUGAAACAAAUUUCAAACUUCAUUUGUGGUGUGUUGGCUCUCUCUAGUGGUAUGCCAGGAGUGGUACAGCCUGUCUACCCUUAUUUGGAUACCGUAAUGACGACAAUAUCAAUGGCGCGCACAGCCUCGCUGCUUUCAGGAACCAUUGGAGGUUUUAAGGUUGCGCGAACCAUUGAAUAGUUACGGUAAACACAAUGGCUUCUAUGCUUGGUGGAAAACUCCAUAUCCCACAAUUCAUAGCACACCUCUGCCGAGUUAAACAAUGGCGGCCACCACUUCGUUUUAUAUGUCUUUUAUUAGUGUUUCUAGGUCACAAAAUAAACUUUUAAGAUAUUUUCAGGCGAGAAUGUAGGUGUGUAAACUUCAAAUAUCUGCUUGUUUUAUCAAGACAUCCCAUAUUAGCGACAAUGCUCUGACGACCUCGGUCCUGCCUGACAGCUAGCCGGCUACCUAGCUAGCUGCCGCACUUGGCUGCAAAUGGACAGCGAGGGGACUCUCUCUCUCCUUUCACCUCCCCGGUCUCUCGCAAAUGCUCGCACAGAAUCGGAGUUACAGCUGGAUGUGGAAAAAAUAACUGAGUUGUUUGGUGGUGCUAUAAUGCGGAGCUACAACAGUGGCCAGCUAUCCACCGGUGUAUGACAGAAAGGACAUGCCGCGACCGCCGAUCGACCGGUGUUUGCUAACGCGGAGGUCAAUCGUGGAUCAGGGAAAGCGAAGGCAGGAGCGUGAGGUGAACUGAAUUUCAGGUAAGAAGUUAUGACCUGCACUCUAUUUGGGUCAGAUAUAAACCGAGUUUAGGUGUAGUUUAUUUAGCAGCAGUUCUCUUAUGUGUUGCUGAUAGCCGGCUAGCUAGCUAGCGCCGCUAGCAUAGUUAGCUCGCGCCGCUAGCGACCCUUCGUGAAAAAGCACCCAGGCUUGGCUUAUAUUGAGGCGGGUGAAACUCGUGUCAGCACCCGGUCGCUCGCCGACAGUAUGUGUUUUAGC